ACUCACACGAAUUCACAUGUCUCAGUGGGAAGUAGGCGCGCAGAUAAAGCAAGGGAAGUGCAGUGGCUGCUGAAUGAGUUCUUGAACUCUGUUUCUCAGUCCUUCAGUAGAGAUGGCCAACAUCUGCUGCUGCCUGCUCCUGUUUCACCUGCUACCUUUUCAGCCAGCUAUUAGUCACUUCUCACUCUGCUGUCCCAGAACAGGAUUACAGAAGUACCUUUUGGAAUGAGGUAUCUUCACUGAUCAAGGAGAGGCUCUCAGUACAUCGGUGCAGUCACCACUCAGAGUUACAGAAGUGCUGUGAUGGAUUAUUCAUCCUGAAACAUGGGAAAGCUACCAUAUCAUCUCCAGGGACCACCUUUCCUGAAGUGACAAAGGCCUUUUAGCAGACCCUCAUUUUGGGCUGGCAGCCACUGAUCUGUGCUACAAUCCCACUGAGAGCCAUCUUUUCCCUGUGUGCAAUCUCUCACAAAAUAACAUAUGCAAAGAACACAACCUGGCUGUUGGAUUCCAGCUGUCUCUCAGCCGCCUCUGCAACACCUUUCCAGCUUUCAGACUACCAUGGCACUUUGUAAAGUGGGUUUUUAUUAUGCAGACCUUGCAUUCACUGGAAACUAGGAUGAACCUACAACCUUAGAGCAAAGGGCAGCUUGUCCUCUUUACCAGGACCCUGAGUUGCAUCCAAAGUAAGAAGUGAAAGUGGGGGAAAAGCACCAUCCACCCUGGGCAUUUUUGCUGGUCAGCUCUUUGGCUUCUGCUGAAGGAAACACAGCUUGCUGCCACUCGUUAAUACAGUGGCAACAGUUUAUUGCUGUGGGAGUGCCCGAAAAAUGCUUCCUGUCUCCCGUGGCAACCUUGAGCUUGCAUGGAACAAAUUGUGAGCAAAUCCUGCUGUACUUAUUCACGCUCUUUGUGAUUUACCACUCAUGCCUGCUGCAAAACCAACAGCAAGAAACAACAGCGGAGCGCACGGGCUCUGACUGAUGCACGUUUUUAUCUCCACAGUUGUUAUUCUCGUUUCCUGUUCCUAACAGUUGACUUUGUGUGCUGAUAUCAUGUAUAAAUCUCUAGUUCCAUUCAAGGGUGGAAAUUGUAGAGCAAGCGCUAACUGGAAAAGAAUUGGUGACUCAUAAGCCUAAACAUCCUUCAUAUUUAGUAGGAAUAAAUAUUGAUGCUAGAGAGAUUUAAAUUUAAUAAUGGUUAAAAAUUGCAGUAUGUUGAUGGGGAAGUCAGUUCCUUGUGCACCCGUGACUCCUAUUGACUUUGGAGGUAGUUGCAGGGGUGCAGCAGAGGUUGGUUUUAGCAUUUCUGAAUUGUAUUCUGUACUCCCACGGAUUUCCGGGCAAGGGAAAAAUGGGGAAGAGAAUUGCCUUUGGAAUUUUCAUUUCAUUCUUUAGGAGCAACUAACAAAGGGAAAUAUUUUGCCAUGAUUAUACACUUUCCUUUUCAUGAAAUUAAGAUAGCCAGAGUGACAUAAUUUUCCACUGAUUUCAAUCAACAAAAUUUUUUUACCAUAUAAAAAGAAGAAAGGGUAGAUCACUAGACAUUGGUCAGUAGUAUGCUGGAUCAAAUUCCACACAUGCGUACAUGCAUCCUGACCAAAAACUAUGCACUUUAUCAGUGGGAGGCAUUAUUAUUUGCCCUUUUUUGUGAAGAACAAGCCUAGGUUGCUGGAGGACAACCAAAGACUAGUGCAGCUCCCCAGUUCAUCUGGGAUCCUGUUUCCGCACUCAUGCCUGUCCCUGUUGUGAUGCAAUCUGGCAGCUCUCACAUGUCCUUGCAACAAGGAUGUACCACUUUAAGCCUUUUUCAAGAAAGGAAGGAAAACCUCAAAUGAUGAACUCAGACUUGCAAAGGAAGAUGGAAAAUAUAAUUUUCAAAUGCCUGAUUUUUUUUAUAAAUUGCAAAGGUGUUUGUGCUUUUCUAAAGGAAGUCCUUCAAAUCCCUGUUGUUCAAACCAUGGUGUCCAGUUCUUAGGGGGGAAAGGUCCCAGAAGCUGUAUAACUUAUGCUUAAAAAUUGUGACAAAUGCAUCCAAUUUGAAGUAGCCAUUGGGAGAAAACUCAUUAAGAAUGAGUAGAGUAUUUCUAAAAUCAUCAGCUAGGGGAUGCAGUUUGGCCUUGAUUUAACUGGUGAAUUUAAGAAUAUGGAGAAAUUUUAUAAACUCAUGCACUAAAAAGAGAUGUGCCAAAGCCAAAGGAGUACUUGCAGGAGGGCUCACCAGAGGAGCAGUAGGCAGUGAGCUUAUUUGCAAAGCUGGACAGCUUUUGCUCCCAGUCCUGUGUCCUAUCGCUACCAAAUGUGUUUUGUCUCAUCCUUAAAUCUUUCAGCAAAGAAUUUAGCUGCUUCUAGCAUUGAUUUGAAAUGAGUUCUAAUGUAAUAUAAAAAAUAAUAAAAGUCAUAAUAGUUGCCA